GAACUGGUGAGAUCUAGGUUUGGCAUAACAAGGUUAAAAAAUCAAAGAUACUCUCCGCAGAUAUGAAAUGUUAUAAAUUCAUUGCACUCAUAGGAAAAGAUCAUACAUUUUUCAAGUGAUAAGUUUAGUCCAGCAGAAUUUUGCCAUGUGGAACAUUGCUCAUCUGUACAAUGCCAUGGUUGAAACUUCUAGACUCUCACACUUUUAUAUUGUGCACUUACACUGGCACUUCCAUGUUCAUUGCAGACAUUUCAUGGCCUGCCAUCAAAGUUACCUCAGUCUCUUAAGCAGGUUCUUUUUGCCUUCAGGGCAAAAUAUCUUUCUUGCCCUGGAACGACUCACAGGAUUGCAUCAUCCUGCACAGGGAUUAUGUCAAAAGGUCAUGGUGGUCACCAGCUGGAUGAUUCUCGCCUUCUCCUUCCCUAACACUUAUGCAUCUUUCAUGACCAAUUGUGGAUUCAUUACCAAGUCCAGGCCAGAUCUUACCCUUCUUUCCCAAUCAGAGGAAUACAUGCAACAAAAGUCCCAAUGUGCUCUCACCACAGACACAUAUUUUGCUUUUCCAUUAUGCCAACCAUACCACGAGUCUUUAUUUCCUAGGAAACAUUAAAACUUCUUCCUCUGUUUCUCUUUCCCUUGCAAGUGAAGAUCUGGGCCAACAUAGAUCUGUCCGUCCCACCAAACAGACUCUGUGGUAUAGAAGAGAGGAGAGUUUUGUCUCCCAGGGAUUGUUAUGCGAACCAUUCUCUGUUUGGACAGGUGGCAACGGGGAGUGAAGACGCUCAAGAAGCAGACAUUUUCUUUAUUACUGUAUUUAUUCCUGAAUCCUGCAUACAUUUUGCACUGAUCCCCUGCAUGUUGUAAGUCCCGUUUGUAUAUGAAGAAGCCUGCAAGAUGAAAUGACAUUCACAGUAAUUGUAUCUGGAAAAUCUGUUCUUCAGAGAUUGCAGAGAGAUGGUAGGUAGUUGCAAUCAGGUGCCCACAGGUGAAGAUGACAGUCUCUGAUACUGACUUCCUCCUUUAAUGUGUUUUGUGCUUUGUGAGAUUUGUCUGCAGCACUGUAUUUGCACUCCAUCUGCUU
rnacentral:lncRNA from 1 species